UACAGAGGUCCCGAGCGUUGUUCGGAUUCACUGGGCGUAAAGGGUGCGUAGGCGGUGAGGUAAGUACGAUGUGAAAUCUCCCUGCUCAACGGGGAGGGUGCACUGUAAACUGGUGAGCUAGAGGACGGUAGAGGGGGGUGGAAUUGCUGGUGUAGCGGUGAAAUGCGUAGAGAUCAGCAGGAACACCCGUGGCGAAGGCGGCCCCCUGGGCCGUACCUGACGCUGAGGCGCGAAGGCUAGGGGAGCGAACGGG
rnacentral:rRNA from 1 species